UACGAGGGGGGCAAGCGUUGUUCGGAAUUAUUGGGCGUAAAGGGCGCGUAGGCGGUGCGGUAAGUCACCUGUGAAAACUCUGGGCUCAACUCAGAGCCUGCAGGCGAAACUGCCGUGCUGGAGUGUGGGAGAGGUGCGUGGAAUUCCCAGUGUAGCGGUGAAAUGCGUAGAUAUCGUAAGGAAGACCAGUGGCGAAGGCGGGUCUCUGGACAGUUCCUGACGCUGAGGCACGAAGGUCAGGGAGCAAACAGG
rnacentral:rRNA from 1 species